rnacentral:lncRNA from 1 species
CAGACCUUGCGACUCUACCUUGGCUUAGACAAACCGUGACCUUUUCUUACUAGACAAGCCAUAGGCUGAUCCAUAAGGAUUGGUCCUAACCUGUCCCGAAAGACACCGUUUGGAACAUGCACCCUUUGGCCAAUCGUGCCUCUUGGUCCUCGUACCUUUUGAUGUUCGCAACCUUUGGUAACUCGUACCCUUUGGUCCCUGACACCCUUUGGCAGCUCACAACCUUUGGACACUCA